rnacentral:lncRNA from 1 species
AUUCUCAGUACCUUUGAGUUUAAUACUAACAAUGGUUAAACUACUGGAAUCACUAGGAUGCAAGUACAAAGGAUCUCCUAUAUCCAGUUUACCAAUCAAUGUCUGAGAAGUACUAGGAGCAGAUUCAGGAGGCAUAAUGACAAUUAAUCAACAAAACACCAAAAAAUCAAACAAACAAUAGAAGGUAAACAACAAGAACCACACAAAGAACCAACAAUCACUCAAACAAACAACAGCAGAUAAACACAAAGAACCAACAAUCAAACACACAAAGGCGAAACUGAGUCAGGGACCAG